CAGCCAUGCCGCGUGCAGGAGGACGGCCCUAUGGGUUGUAAACUGCUUUUGUAAGGGGAUAAACCCCUCAACGAGCUUGAGGGCUGAAGGUACCUUACGAAUAAGCAUCGGCUAACUCCGUGCCAGCAGCCGCGGUAAUACGGAGGAUGCAAGCGUUAUCCGGAUUUAUUGGGUUUAAAGGGUGCGUAGGCGGCCUGUUAAGUCAGAGGUGAAAGGUUGCGGCUUAACCGCAGACAUGCCUUUGAUACUGGCAGGCUUGAAUGAAGUUGAGGUAGGCGGAAUGUGGCAAGUAGCGGUGAAAUGCAUAGAGAUGCCACAGAACACCAAUUGCGAAGGCAGCUUACUAAGCUUUAAUUGACGCUGAGGCACGAAAGCGUGGGGAUCAAACAGGAUUAGAUACCCUGGUAGUCCACGCCGUAAACGUUGGGCGCUAGGUGUGGGAUCCCUUCCACGGGUUCCGUGCCGCAGCUAACGCAUUAAGCGCCCCGCCUGGGGAGUACGGCCGCAAGGCUA
rnacentral:rRNA from 1 species